rnacentral:rRNA from 1 species
UACGGGAGGCAGCAGUGGAGAUAUUGCGCAUGGGCGAAAGCCUGACGCAGCAACGCCGCGUGCGAUGAAGGCUUCGGGUUGUAAACCGCUUCAGCAGGGAAACGAAAGUGACGGUACCUCAGAAGAAGCACCGGCUAACUCGUGCCAGCAGCCGCGGUAAU